rnacentral:rRNA from 1 species
CCUACGGGAGGCAGCAGUGAGGAAUAUUGGUCAAUGGGGGAAACCCUGAAGCAGCAACGCCGCGUGGAGGAUGAAGGUUUUCGGAUUGUAAACUCCUUUUGUUAGAGAAGAUAAUGACGGUAUCUAACGAAUAAGCACCGGCUAACUCCGUGCCAGCAGCCGCGGUAAUACGGAGGGUGCAAGCGUUACUCGGAAUCACUGGGCGUAAAGGGCGGGUAGGCGGGAUAGCAAGUCAGAUGUGAAAUCCUAUGGCUUAACCAUAGAACUGCAUUUGAAACUGGUAUUCUAGAGUAUGGGAGAGGUAGGGGGAAUUCUUGGUGUAGGGGUAAAAUCCGUAGAGAUCAAGAGGAAUACUCAUUGCGAAGGCGACCUGCUAGAACAUAACUGACGCUGAUGCGCGAAAGCGUGGGGAGCAAACAGGAUUAGAUACCCUUGUAGUC